AGAGAGAAAAAAAAACACACACACAUAGAAACCAGUUAGCAUUCAUUCCAGUGUUUAUCUGUAAUAUCACAUGAAAGCGGUGCCAACCCUGGACAGAAUGUCAUUGUCCAGAAGAGCCAAUCACUACUCGUAUUUGUAAGAAGUAUUGACAUGUUGAACAGAUCUGUCUGUUUAAACUAUUGGCACACAGCUCAGACACCCAUCCAUACCCCACAAGACAUGCCACCAGAGGUCUGUUUAAACUAUUAGCACACAGCUCAGACACCCAUCCAUACCCCACAAGACAUGCCACCAGAGGUCUGUUUAAACUAUUAGCACACAGCUCAGACACCCAUCCAUACCCCACAAGACAUGCCACCAGAGGUCUGUUUAAACUAUUAGCACACAGCUCAGACACCCAUCCAUACCCCACAAGACAUGUCACCAGAGGUCUGUUUAAACUACUGGCACACAGCUCAGACACCCAUCCAUACCCCACAAGACAUGCCACCAGAGGUCUGUUUAAACUAUUAGCACACAGCUCAGACACCCAUCCAUACCCCACAAGACAUGCCACCAGAGGUCUGUUUAAACUAUUAGCACACAGCUCAGACACCCAUCCAUACCCCACAAGACAUGCCACCAGAGGUCUGUUUAAACUAUUAGCACACAGCUCAGACACCCAUCCAUACCCCACAAGACAUGUCACCAGAGGUCUCUUCACAGUCCCCAAGUCCAGAACAGACUAUGGGGAGGUGCACAGUACUACAUAGAGCCAUGACUACAUGGAACUCUAUUCCACAGUACUAGAUAGAGCCAUGACUACAUGGAACUCUAUUCCACAGUACUACAUAGAGCCAUGACUACAUGGAACUCUAUUCCACAGUACUACAUAGAGCCAUGACUACAUGGAACUCUAUUCCACAGUACUAGAUAGAGCCAUGACUACAUGGAACUCUAUUCCAUAGUACUACAUAGAGCCAUGACUACAUGGAACUCUAUUCCACAGUACUAGAUAGAGCCAUGACUACAUGGAACUCUAUUCCAUAGUACUACAUAGAGCCAUGACUACAUGGAACUCUAUUCCACAGUACUACAUAGAGCCAUGACUACAUGGAACUCUAUUCCACAGUACCACAUAGAGCCAUGACUACAUGGAACUCUAUUCCACAGUACUACAUAGAGCCAUGACUACAUGGAACUCUAUUCCACAGUACUACAUAGAGCCAUGACUACAUGGAACUCUAUUCCACAGUACUACAUAGAGCCAUGACUACAUGGAACUCUAUUCCACAGUACUACAUAGAGCCAUGACUACAUGGAACUCUAUUCCACAGUACUACAUAGAGCCAUGACUACAUGGAACUCUAUUCCACAGUACUACAUAGAGCCAUGACUACA